rnacentral:lncRNA from 1 species
UGUGGAAGCUGUGAGAAUCUUUAGAUCAAUUUUGAAUUCUAGUUUUAUUUUGAAUCUUGAAAAUAUUUUUUAUGUUCCUAAUUUCUUUAGAAAUUUAGUUUCUGUUUCCAAGUUAACUGAUAUUGGUUUUGAUUUCCAUUUUAAAAAUCUAUAGUUAAUAUUUUUUGGAAUAAAAGUGUUAUUGACACUGAUUUUCUGAUAGAUGGUU